AACGAACGCUGGCGGCAGGCUUAACACAUGCAAGUCGAGCGCCCCGCAAGGGUAGCGGCAGACGGGUGAGUAACGCGUGGGAACGUACCCUUCUCUACGGAAUAACACAGAGAAAUUUGUGCUAAUACCGUAUACGCCCUUUGGGGGAAAGAUUUAUCGGAGAAGGAUCGGCCCGCGUAGGAUUAGCUAGUUGGUGUGGUAACGGCGCACCAAGGCGACGAUCCUUAGCUGGUCUGAGAGGAUGACCAGCCACACUGGGACUGAGACACGGCCCAGACUCCUACGGGAGGCAGCAGUGGGGAAUAUUGGACAAUGGGCGCAAGCCUGAUCCAGCUAUGCCGCGUGAGUGAUGAAGGCCUUAGGGUUGUAAAGCUCUUUCACCCACGACGAUAAUGACGGUAGUGGGAGAAGAAGCCCCGGCUAACUUCGUGCCAGCCGCCGCUGUAACAC
rnacentral:rRNA from 1 species